GCCAGGUGUGGUGGUGCACGCCUGUAAUCCCAGCUACUGAGGAGGCUGAGGCGGGAGAAUCACUUGAACCCAGGAGGCAAAGUUUGCAGUGAGCCGAGAUCACACCACUGCACUCCAGCCUGGGUGACAAGGUGAGACUCCGUCUUAA
ensembl:misc_RNA Metazoa_SRP Metazoan signal recognition particle RNA